UAAAGCGUGCGCAGGCGGUGAUGUAAGACAGAUGUGAAAUCCCCGGGCUCAACCUGGGACCUGCAUUUGUGACUGCAUCGCUAGAGUACGGUAGAGGGGGAUGGAAUUCCGCGUGUAGCAGUGAAAUGCGUAGAUAUGCGGAGGAACACCGAUGGCGAAGGCAAUCCCCUGGACCUGUACUGACGCUCAUGCACGAAAGCGUGGGGAGCAAACAGGAUUAGAUACCCUAG
rnacentral:rRNA from 1 species